UUUCAUAUUUCAAAAGCGGAGGAAAAGAAACCAACAGGGAUUGCCUCAGUAGCGGCGAGUGAAGCGGCAAGAGCUCAGAUUUGAAAUCUCACCUAGUGUGCGAGUUGUAAAUUGCAGGUUGGAGUCUCGGGUUAGACGUGUGUGCAAGUCCCUUGGAACAGGGCGCCACUGAGGGUGAGAGCCCCGUAGCGUGCAUGUCGACACCUGUGAGGCCCUUCUGACGAGUCGAGUUGUUUGGGAAUGCAGCUCUAAGUGGGUGGUAAAUUCCAUCUAAGGCUAAAUAUUGGCGAGAGACCGAUAGCGAACAAGUACUGUGAAGGAAAGAUGAAAAGCACUUUGAAAAGAGAGUGAAACAGCACGUGAAAUUGUUGAAAGGGAAGGGUAUUGGGCUCGACAUGGGAUUUACGCAUCGUUGCCUCUCGUGGGCGGCGCUCUGGGUUUUUCCUGGGCCAGCAUCGGUUUUUGUUGCAGGAUAAGGACAAUUGGAAUGUGGCUCCUCGGAGUGUUAUAGCCUUUUGUAGAUGCUGCGUAUGGGGACCGAGGGCUGCGGCGGACUUGUUCUCUCGGAUGCUGCACAACCGCC
rnacentral:rRNA from 1 species